rnacentral:lncRNA from 1 species
AUUUUUUUGGGGAUCUUGAAAGAAGUUUGUUGAUAUUUUUUAUUAAAUCUUUUUGUUCCUUGAUUUUCCAGGGGAAAUAAAUUGUUGUCAUUAGAAAAUUAUUUAUUGAUUUUUUUGUCGUUGAUUAGUUUGUCAUGAACUUAUGGGGAUUUGUUCUAAUAAAGAAUGCAGAUAUAAAAUCCAAGUGUAAUGAUAUCAGAGUGGAUUAUUGAGGUUAUGCACUUCUUUGCGUUACUAAAAAAUUCAGUGCAAUUAGUUAAGCUAAGCUAGAAACACUUGAAUUAUGUCACUUCACUGCUGUCAUGCUCUGAUGUUUUAUUUGAUCUUUCCCUUCAGUGUUUGCUAGAACUGUGCCACCUUUUGCUAGUAAGUUGAAGUUCUUUUGUCUCUACCUUCAUUUAUGUAACUAAGCAUAUCAGAAUGAUGGUUGGAUGUCAAAUGAUCUAAAGGUUGGAUGAAUGAAGUAAAAAUGAAGGCUCCAAAAAAAAAAAAGAAAAGAAAGGGUUGUGCCGUACUUUCAAUUUCAAGAUGAUAGAAUUAGGGGAGGAUUUAUCAGAUUCUGAAUCUCCCCAUUUUCUUGGAAGUUCUGUGGUAAAAUAAAACACCAUGGAGUUUAGAUAAUCUUGAAGAAAUGAACAAGUCUCGGGUGCUUUUGCAGUUAGUUUGGUUGAAUGAUCAAGAUCUAGUAGGUAUCUGAUGUUACAAAUUUGAAGUGCUCCUCAUUUGUCCACAUACCUUUUGCCUUCUGAGGUCAGUGACAUGAUCUUAGACAAAGAUGAAAUGAAGAAUCAUUUGAAGUGCUCCAGUGUUCACAUACCUUUUGCUCAGGUCCUCUACUCUGUAGUGUUUGCUUUUGGAGCCACAUUUCUCUUCUUUCUCCAGUUCAAACAUAAUAAUAUGGAGAAGCUAUGAUAAUUUUGGGGCUGUCCACUUGAUUACAUGUGUUUCAUAUGAAAUACAUGUGGUGUUUCUCUGCUAUUCCACAAUUCCAAGUAUAACCAAGGAGCUCAUAUUUAAGGUAAUGUUGGGACUCCUUUUCAGACAACUGAUAACUAAUCAACUUUCUGUUACCUUGUCAUCUGAUAUAUUAUGGAGUUGAAUUUAGGUUAGGUAUGAACUGUUGGAAGCCACUCUUGAGGGGUAUCCUUGCAGCUGGAGUCCAGCUCUAAGCUGUAUUUUUUCACAGAUGCUGCACACUAAGUGUAGGAGGCUUGAAUCUUAUUUGGGCAUUUGGUAUUUAUUAUUCAGUGGUGCCUGUUGAAUUCAAAAUUUUCUUCUACCUUGUAUGUAGCCUUGAUGGAAUAUUUGUCUGUGUCUCGUUUUUCUUGUGUUGUACCUGAGUGCGCGUCUUAAGCUUUCCGUAUCGAAGAGGAAAGUUGCAAUCAGCUCUGGAAAUAUUAAGUGUCAGAAAUAUACAGAACAUGCACUAUUAGCUUGCUAAUAACAAUCAACACCUAUGACGAUAUGCUCGAUAUGGAUGGUUUUGACUAGCAAGUUCGAAGGAGCUCUCCCCCACUGUAAUCCACACUUUUCCCUGCACAGUCAAUUAUUGUUUGGCGGACGGACCAAAGGAUAUAUAAAUACAAGUUUACUAGGAGGCAUAUUCAGUACGCAAUAUUUUUUCCAUUUAACUAUUACUCUAAAAUUUUGCCUCAUACCCUAUUCAGUCUCUUUGAUUACCCUUUGUUGUUACAAAUUGGUUUUUUAUUCUUUGGAUCAAGUUAGAUUGACAGUGUCAAGUAUGUAGAUGCUUACAUGAUCAUAAAUAAGUCCAUUUCACGCUUGCAUAUUUUGCUCGUAGACAAAACUUCUGUAUAAUCCCACUACUGGCCCAUAAAAUGAGGAAUUGGUGGAGAAAUAUAAAUGAUACUUGGAACUAGAAAGUUCAUUUUACCAGUAUUUCUCAUCUAAUUCACUAUUUUGUGUCUUUCAAUAUUUCGUAACAUCUAUGCACAAUUCUGGUUGUUGGUAAGUCAUAUUUUUAAGGGAACCAAGACAAUAUUAAAAAAAAUGGCAAGAUGUUCUUGGAUUUGCUGCAUACUAUACUGUGUUUUAAAGUUGUUUCAUUGUGUGUGUGUGUUGGUUUUAUGUAGUUGACUCUUUUAACUCUGCCUGUGUUGCAUGUUUGCUCGACACAGCCGGUCCCAAGCCCGGAAAAGGAGGAGGGUUUGAGUCAACAGAUGUGAUCUCAAUGUUUUUUAAUUAUCUCUGCAUUUGUGUUUUUUCUGCCUAUUAUUAGGUUGCCUUUACUCUCAACUCUUUCUGAUUGUCCGCAUCUUUUCUCUGUGUUGCUGGUUAAACUUUUGAAUAUUAAUUACAUCGAGAGUGUUGAAGGCUUUAUUCUUGUAGUUGGGUAGGAGAAUUGAAUGAUCUUUUCUCUGUGUUGCUGGUUCAACUUUUGGAAUAUUAAUUACAUCGAGAGUGUUGAAGGCUUUAUUCUUGUAGUUGGGUAGGAGAAUUGAAUGAUCUGGCGCUAACAUAAUAAUCUUGAUUUCCAUUCCUUGACUCUACUUGUGGAUUUCACCUUAUUUUUGGCAGUUAGAUGUAACUGGUUCUAGAUGAGCUGUGUUCACGGCUGGCCAUUAAACUUUUGCAGUGGAAUCCAAAAUGAACUCUUCUUCAUUUGCCAAGUUGCACGAACCAUUUUAGGUGCGCUGUCUCUUAAGAGUAAGUUCUACUUGCCCUAUUAUUUAUCCCAUAAUCUGUUUCUUGCUUUGAAAUGACUUAUUAUUUUUAAUUUAAACUAUGUGCUCACUGGUAUGGGGAAUGAGAACUUCUAACCAACCAUGUUCAUGAUAUCCACGGAAGUCAAAACUGUAAGAUGCCACAUUGUGAAUAUAUUAAUUUCAAAGGGCGUUAUAUAUUAAAUGGAAAAGUGUUCUUGGUUGUUCUGCAUGUUACACUGUAUUCAAAAGUUGCUUUAUUGUGUCAAUUUAUGUUUUUAUCUAAUAAUAGGCUCUUGUAAUUCCAUCUGUGUCAGUCCAUAUCUAAGAUAAGGUAACAUUUAAGAAAAUAGUAUAGCUCAAGUUACCUAUCUGAGAGAACUCGUGACAGUCCUAUUGACACACCCCUGAUCAUCAUUAAAAUUUAUUAUUGUAACUUGUUAGAUAUUACCUACUAGUAUAGCAGCGAAAUGAAAUAGUCAUUUAACUACAUUAAAUGUAUGUAAGAAAAUGCCCUCGAUCUGUUUAGUUCAGUUCUGUGUGAUGUUUUCUGGAAAUUUUCUUCGACUCACUUUGGCAUACGGUCAUAGAAUUCAUUAAUUUGCUUGUACAGUCCAAAUUUUACUAGAAUCAAUAAUUAUGAUUAACGUGGCAAAGAUUGCAUAAAUAUAUUUUUAAGACUUCACUGCUUUCCCAAAUUUACUAGAAAUGCAGGAGGGAAGUAAUGAUGGUCAAGAAAAGCUAUCAUUCUAUAUUUUCUUGUUUGCAAGUUCCAUAACUGAAAGGUUUCUCAGAGCUGGACCCAGCUGCAACCGCAUUAGACAUUAGAGCUUCUUCAGGUAAUGGGUCCUAGGGAAGUAGAGAUGACAGAAAAGAGACCGCAUCUGAGGAGGCUUAGAAGGGUAUCCAGGGAAGCAGCCUUGAACAAUUGUGCAGAAUACUGGUUUUGUAUAAUUCAAGGAGAAUGGCGUUUUGGUGUGGAAUUGGAAUUUGGUGGGAUAAUUUUGUUCUUUCUUUUGAACUCAAUAAAUGUGUAGGGUAUAGAUCAAAUCUAUAAAUUGAGCAUAGUUGAGAGGAUGAAGAGCUUUAUUCUUCUUUCAUGUAUGAGAUAAUCUUUGGACAUAUCUAUAAAUCUCACUCUCAGAACUCUGGCAUCGUGUGCUUGUACAUUUUGUAGUGCUGGAAUUCUGAAUUUUGUAUCUGCUUUCCACUUCAAUCAGAAUUUGGACAACUGGGUUUUCAGAUUUUAAUAAAAAUUUCUUUCGCAUUAGUUUUUUUAAAGAUGAAGACUUUAAGAC